AUGGAGGGAUGGAGCAGCAGCAGAGGGGUCCAGGGUGAACGUCAGACCUGGGAAGGGAGAGAUGAAGACGAAAGAGCAGACAGUGUCGCAAACGCCUAUGAUUCCCCUCCUGGAUUAAAUGGAACAUGGGGACGAGCACCAUGGAAGAAAAUGCUGCUAUUGAGGGGCGUCAUGCGCACAAGAGACUUUUACUCCUGUUGUUGCUCGUGGUUUCUUCUAAGGUACCCAACGUCCAGACGAGAUCAAUCGACUUUGUGUGAGACACACACGACUGGAGAAACAUGAACAACAUGAAGGACCUGGAAGUUGCCAUGCUACAACAGAAGCGUGCUGAGGUGAGAGGGGCUCUGGGGGUAUUGUUGGACAGUGUGGGGAGAAUGAGGACACACACCAAACUCAGCUGUCAGUUAUCUUUGCUGGAGAGACUAGAGCAUGGAAUCACAAACUACCUGCACAUAGUCACCAACCUGGACAUCACGGUGAGAUGGAGCACGCACGCACACACACACACACAUUAAUUCUUGCCAGCCCUCUCUCUCUUGUCCUCUCUCCUAUUCUCCCCUCACAAAUACUUGACUGUGUGUCUGUUGGUCCACAGGAUGACUUGACAGACUCAGAUCCAGACCCAGGCUGUCCCAGCCAGCAGAGCCAGAGUCUGAACCAAGUGCCGCAGCUGUAUGGCAGGGUGCUCCGGGGGAAGCUAGAGUGGCUCUCAAUGGACCUCAGAGACAGCUGCUUGGGACAGAGAUGAUAACCUGGGAUUUCUUCUCUCUCCCUUAUCAAUGCUGAACUGGAUGAAGAAUCUAGGGUGACCAGAAGACUGCACUAGCACUUCCUGGUGGAAGCUGUCUGUACAACAUGGCAGUGUUUUGCUGCCACCUGGAUUUAUUGAUGGAGUUACAGAGCCCUCUUCUGGUGAUAUACAGCAUGGCAUGGUGUGGCACUCGUUGAGGAAAUAGGUGGGAUCUGAGUAGGCUACAAAUGGCUGCUAUCAGAAGCAGGCACUGCCAGAGUCCAAUACCCAGACCAAAGAGACUGGACCUAUGCUCUUAUUAGAUAUGACAAUUCUAAAGACUGUUGGCCCCACUUUAAAGUGCUACUGUGCCAACACUUGCUACAUUAUUUUCUCAAAUGGGAAUAUCCACAGAGUAAAGGUAGCCAUACUAUGCAUGGUUUCCACAGCCAUGUCAGGAGGGAAAGAAACAUCCAUGGUGGAAAUAUAGUUGGUUAAAAUCGAUUACUGCACUGGUUGGAAGAGGAAUAUUCAUCAAAGCCAUGCUUUUGAAGAAUGACUGGUUUGGAAAAAGUUGAGCCAAAAAACAAUGAAAAUGUCAAGAGGGAGAAAGUGUAUUCUAUAUGUAGCCUCUCUCUUUGGGAAUAUGAUGUAUAUGAUUGAUAUUAAAGUGCCCAUGUCAACAAACACUGAUAUUUUAUAUUGGAACAAUAUUUGCUCAUAUUUCUGUAUUUGCUUAAAAUUUUAAAUGUGCACAAUAUGGUCUAUAUUAUGAAGUUUUCUAACAAAAUGAAAUCAUUGAUAAAGUGCAUUCCAUUAAAGGCCCAGUGCAGUAAUCAUUC
rnacentral:lncRNA from 13 species